UCUAAUAUGGCAGACUAGUGCAUUGGAUUUAAGCCCCAAUUAUAAAGAAAACUUUUUUUAGAA
rnacentral:tRNA from 1 species